rnacentral:lncRNA from 1 species
GUUUGUUUUUUAUCUUUAUGUCAAAGAUUUCGUCAAGUUAAAAUACAGAAAAAUGAAUAAAAUUGAAAACAUGUGCUUCCCUUAAUUUUGCCUCAAACUUUGUGUACAUUUAUAAAUAAUACUUCCUGUCCAUUUGCACUAAAGACAGAUAAAAACAAUGGCACAUAAAAUUUAUAUCACCAGGUCAUAUUUCUAAUUGCAUAACUUUUGCUCAACUAUUAAAAAAAAAUCAAAGUCUGAACGCUCAACUACAUGAAAAUUUCAAAAUUGAAAUGCUCAACUUUUCCUCAACUACAAAAAUAUCAAAGUCUGAUGCUCAACUUUUGCUCAACUACAAAAAUGUCAAAGUCUGAAAGCUCAACUUUUGCUCAACUAUAUGAAAACCAAAGAUCAAUUGCUCUGACAACUUUUCCUCAACUUAAUGGCCAGCUUCUGUUGAGGGCCAGUUGAGCGACAUCUAUCUAAAAUACAGUGCUUGGCCAGGUUUGAGUUGAACUAAGAUGCUCAACACCUAGCACUCAACUAUUUUGCUUAAAACAGCUAGCUCUCAACUGUCCGUCACAUGGCCAUCAACUGGCCCUCAACUUUUUUUCUGUAGGGGAAGGUGGUAUUACAUGUUUCAAAUCAGAAAUUAAAGACCCAGAAUUGUCCUCAAUCAUGUCAAUUGAACUUUUACACUAAUGUGACUGUGAUAUAUAUAAUUACUGUUCUGAAAUUAUGCUUUACAUAAAUGUUUUUUUUAUACUGUUCAUGAUUAAAUAUUUUACAUAAUUAA